rnacentral:rRNA from 1 species
GACGAACGCUGGCGGCGUGCCUAAUACAUGCAAGUUGAGCGAUGAAGAUUGGUGCUUGCCCCAAUUUGAAGAGCAGCGAACGGGUGAGUAACGCGUGGGGAAUCUGCCUUUGAGCGGGGGACAACAUUUGGAAACGAGUGCUAAUACCGCAUAAUAACUUUAAACAUAAGUUUUAAGUUUGAAAGAUGCAAUUGCAUCACUCAAAGAUGAUCCCGCGUUGUAUUAGCUAGUUGGUGAGGUAAAGGCUCACCAAGGCGAUGAUACAUAGCCGACCUGAGAGGGUGAUCGGCCACAUUGGGACUGAGACACGGCCCAAACUCCUACGGGAGGCAGCAGUAGGGAAUCUUCGGCAAUGGACGAAAGUCUGACCGAGCAACGCCGCGGGAGUGAAGAAGGGUGUCGGAUCGUAAAACUCGGUUGGUAGAGAAGAACGUUGGUGAGAGUGGAAAGCUCAUCAAGUGACGGUAACUACCCAGAAAGGGACGGCUAACUACGUG